GACGAACGCUGGCGGCGUGCUUAACACAUGCAAGUCGAACGGUGAAGCUCCAGCUUGCUGGAGUGGAUCAGUGGCGAACGGGUGAGUAACACGUGAGCAACCUGCCCCAGACUCUGGAAUAAGCGCUGGAAACGGCGUCUAAUACUGGAUACGAGAUCAAGCCGCAUGGUUAUGGUCUGGAAAGUUUUUCGGUUUGGGAUGGGCUCGCGGCCUAUCAGCUUGUUGGUGAGGUAAUGGCUCACCAAGGCGACGACGGGUAGCCGGCCUGAGAGGGCGACCGGCCACACUGGGACUGAGACGCGGCCCAGACUCCUACGGGAGGCAGCAGUGGGGAAUAUUGCUCAAUGGGCGAAAGCCUGAUGCAGCGACGCCGCGUGAGGGAUGACGGCCUUCGGGUUGUAAACCUCUUUCAGCAGGGAAGAAGCGAAAGUGACGGUACCUGCAGAAGAAGCACCGGCUAACUACGUG
rnacentral:rRNA from 1 species